GACGAACCGUGCAAACGUUAUUCGGAAUCACUGGGCUUAAAGGGCGCGUAGGCGGGUUCGCAAGUCUGUGGUGAAAGCCUCCAGCUUAACUGGAGAAGUGCCGUGGAUACUGCGAAUCUUGAGGAGGGUAGGGGCGUCUGGAACGGUCGGUGGAGCGGUGAAAUGCGUUGAUAUCGACCGGAACUCCGGUGGCGAAGGCGAGGCGCUGGACCCUUUCUGACGCUGAGGCGCGAAAGCCAGGGGAGCAAACGGG
rnacentral:rRNA from 1 species